GUCGGGAGUCUUGCACAAUGGGGGAAACCCUGAUGCAGCGACGUCGCGUGUGGGAUGAAGUAUUUCGGUAUGUAAACCACUUUUGCGGGGGGCGAAAAAAAUGACGGUACCCCGCGAAUAAGCCCCGGCUAACUACGUGCCAGCAGCCGCGGUAAUACGUAGGGGGCGAGCGUUGCUCGGAUUGACUGGGCGUAAAGCGCGCGUAGGCGGUCCAUUAAGUGUGCGGUGAAAUUCGGAGGCUCAACCUCCGUCCCGCCGCGCAAACUGAUGGUCUUGGGAUUGGGAGGGGGAUGCGGAAUUCCUGGUGUAGCGGUGAAAUGCAUUGAUAUCAGGAGGAACACCGGCGGCGAAAGCGGCAUCCUGGCUUAUAUCUGACGCUGAGGCGCGAAAGCGUGGGUAGCAAACGGGAUUAGAUACCCUAGUAGUCC
rnacentral:rRNA from 1 species